UGCAGUCGAGCGGCAGCGCGGGGGCAACCCUGGCGGCGAGCGGCGAACGGGUGAGGAAUACAUCGGAACGUGUCCCGUAAUGGGGGAUAGCCCGGCGAAAGCCGGAUUAAUACCGCAUAUGCUCUACGGAGGAAAGUCGGGGAUCCUGCGAAGGACCUGACGUUAUGGGAGCGGCCGAUGUCGGAUUAGCUUGUUGGUGGGGUAACGGCUUACCAAGGCGACGAUCCGUAGCUGGUCUGAGAGGAUGAUCAGCCACACUGGGACUGAGACACGGCCCAGACUCCUACGGGAGGCAGCAGUGGGGAAUUUUGGACAAUGGGGGCAACCCUGAUCCAGCCAUGCCGCGUGCGGGAAGAAGGCCUUCGGGUUGUAAACCGCUUUUAGUCGGGAAGAAAGGGCAACUCCUAAUACGGGUUGUUCUUGACGGUACCGGCGGAAUAAGCACCGGCUAACUACGUGCCAGCAGCCGCGGUAAUACGUAGGGUGCGAGCGUUAAUCGGAAUUACUGGGCGUAAAGCGUGCGCAGGCGGU
rnacentral:rRNA from 1 species